ensembl:lncRNA
ACACUACUCUCGCAUGGGUGUUCCUGUGCUUUAGGAACAGGCCGUUCCCUGCCUACCGGACACGGGCGAGUUGGGCAGAGUGAAUUCUCAAUGGCUCGUUGAGAGUUCAGUUGUAGGAUUUGGCCUCUGGAAAUUUAAACUUAAGCAACUCUCCUGCAAAAAAAGACACCCGCCCCAAGAGUUUUCGGGCUGGAGGUACAGACAGGAUACCCGUUGAUUAAAACCUCUUCACUAGAGGGACGUUUCUUUUCUCUCUGUUGAGAUCCUGACUCGAUGCACCCUGCCAUGCAAGCGGACUGAGCAAAUCAUCCAGAGGAGAAUCACACUGGCAAGUGUGACGUCAUGUCUGACGCAGUGGAUUCACUGAACCUCAGAUGUGUAUCCAGGCGAUGUCCACGCUGUCACGGCACGAACAACCACUGAUGUGUGAGGAGUAUUGUUGACAUACAACUGUCCCAACGCCCCAAUCCAUUGGAUCAUCGUAUCACGAUCUUCAGCCCAAAUACAGCGGAGUUUAGAGCGACUGUGCGCUCGGGAUACGGAUAUGUCGACCAGGAUGGCCUGCUACGUAACCCCACUCGAGGGUUCCUGCCUCCUACAAUGGUUAUCUGGUGUUUACCCGCCCGCGGCCUUGCUCGGUCACAGACAUGAAGACAAGAACUGACCGGUGUAAUUUGCAGGUGAUAUUGCAGUACAACUGCGAUCAUUAUGAACUAUUUCAUUAAGUUGUUUCCACUCAUGAAACAUUGGGUUGUUUACCACUCAGUCUCAUCCUAAUUGGCAGCACAACUGUUGGCAGGAGGUUUUGUGAUGAGAAUAACUUGUUGUGUUCCUUUUGAAUAGAAUUACAUAUUUUCUUUUGAGCGCGGUCCAUGUGAAAGGCCAAGGUCAGUGCUGUUGGUGGAGAGAGGAGAGUUCUCUGCUGUCCAAACCAAAGGGUGGAGGUGAGCCAUUGACCUUUGACCGUCCUCAGCUACAGAGAAGGAACGCAGCCAAAAAGGACACGGACACGGCCCAGGCCUGUGCGAGCGAAAGCCAGAACCAAAACCUUGUGAAUGCGGGUCAAUUGUUAAUUUAAAAGUUUUACUUUUUAGUUUGUGCAAAUGUGAUGCAUAUAAAAAUCAAAAUGCUGAUAUUGGCAGUGAAAAUUACACCACACUGAAACACCAGCGCUGGCCUUGACAGUCAAAGGCUCCUCCGUGCAGACGGUCUCUGGACCAAUGAAUUGUUCCCUUUCUGGUCGAUCCCCGUGUUUCUUUGGCUCUCGCAUUCGUAAUGGAGCAAGCUGUUUAUUAAUAGCUUGUGCGCUGCAUGAAUUCCUCACAGCAUGUGGUAUUUUCAGAAGGGGCUUAGGUUGUUUAUCUGGUCAGAUGUCAGGAGAUCAGUCUGUAAAUUGACCCCGCAAAUCACCACGCCGGUAAGAUCGGCCGGUGGUAAGUGUCCAUGUUUUUCUCCCUGUCUGCACGUGUGAUCUUCGUGCCUUUCGGCGCACCUGAGUGCGAGUUGAUGUGUCUUUGCACGAUUCCCGUUGGCCACUCCCUAAAACGGUCCAGGUAGAUCCAGACUCAUGCCACCUCAUUCAGAUUAUCUGUCUCAUCCUAAAUCCUCUAAGGCUCUUGAGGUAAAUAAGGUCAGCAGGACAAAAACACAUAACAAACAAGUUCUGAGAACCGUGGCUAAUACGGAGCAUUCACUUAACCUUAAUACAAGUUAUUUAUGUUCAAAAGAAGUAGUUUGUGAGAUUGUUUUUGUUGUAUUUACUGGAGGUAAGAACCUAGUUUGUGUGUGUGUGUGGGUUCUCCUUGUUUUGACUUUGCCCCUCACAUUCCCCGUCUCUCCUAACUGUGUCCAUUUGUUAUAUCAAAAUUCACUCAGCACCUCCUUAUUAGCCCCCUCCUCCAACGUCCAUGUCCACACAAUGGCAACGAACGGCCUGCAC